AGCGGCGGACGGGUUAGUAACGCGUGGGAAUGUACCCUUCUCUACGGAAUAGCCUCGGGAAACUGAGAGUAAUACCGUAUACGCCCUUCGGGGGAAAGAUUUAUCGGAGAAGGAUCAGCCCGCGUAAGAUUAGAUAGUUGGUGGGGUAAUGGCCUACCAAGUCUACGAUCUUUAGCUGGUUUUAGAGGAUGAUCAGCAACACUGGGACUGAGACACGGCCCAGACUCCUACGGGAGGCAGCAGUGGGGAAUCUUGGACAAUGGGCGCAAGCCUGAUCCAGCCAUGCCGCGUGUGUGAUGAAGGCCCUAGGGUCGUAAAGCUCUUUCGCCAGAGAUGAUAAUGACAGUAUCUGGUAAAGAAGUCCCGGCUAACUCCGUGCCAGCAGCCGCGGUAAUACGGAGGGGACUAGCGUUGUUCGGAAUUACUGGGCGUAAAGCGCACGUAGGCGGAUCAGAAAGUAUGGGGUGAAAUCCCAGGGCUCAACCCUGGAACUGCCUCAUAAACUCCUGGUCUAGAGUUCGAGAGAGGUGAGUGGAAUUCCGAGUGUAGAGGUGAAAUUCGUAGAUAUUCGGAGGAACACCAGUGGCGAAGGCGGCUCACUGGCUCGAUACUGACGCUGAGGUGCGAAAGUGUGGGGAGCAAACAGGAUUAGAUACCCUGGUAGUCCACACCGUAAACGAUGAAUGCCAGUCGUCGGGUAGCAUGCUA
rnacentral:rRNA from 1 species